UGGAUGUUUAAGUCAGUUGUGAAAGUUUGCGGCUCAACCGUAAAAUUGCAGUUGAUACUGGAUGUCUUGAGUGCAGUUGAGGCAGGCGGAAUUCGUGGUGUAGCGGUGAAAUGCUUAGAUAUCACGAAGAACUCCGAUUGCGAAGGCAGCCUGCUAAGCUGCAACUGACAUUGAGGCUCGAAAGUGUGGGUAUCAAACAGGAUUAGAUACCCUGGUAGUCCACACGGUAAACGAUGAAUACUCGCUGUUUGCGAUAUACGGCAAGCGGCCAAGCGAAAGCGUUAAGUAUUCCACCUGGGGAGUACGCCGGCAACGGUGAAACUCAAAGGAAUUGACGGGGGCCCGCACAAGCGGAGGAACAUGUGGUUUAAUUCGAUGAUACGCGAGGAACCUUACCCGGGCUUAAAUUGCACUCGAAUGAUCCGGAAACGGUUCAGCUAGCAAUAGCGAGUGUGAAGGUGCUGCAUGGUUGUCGUCAGCUCGUGCCGUGAGGUGUCGGCUUAAGUGCCAUAACGAGCGCAACCCUUGUUGUCAGUUACUAACAGGUGAUGCUGAGGACUCUGACAAGACUGCCAUCGUAAGAUGUGAGGAAGGUGGGGAUGACGUCAAAUCAGCACGGCCCUUACGUCCGGGGCUACACACGUGUUACAAUGGGGGGUACAGAGGGCCGCUACCACGCGAGUGGAUGCCAAUCCCUAAAACCCCUCUCAGUUCGGACUGGAGUCUGCAACCCGACUCCACGAAGCUGGAUUCGCUAGUAAUCGCGCAUCAGCCACGGCGCGGUGAAUACGUUCCCGGGCCUUGUACACACCGCCCGUCAAGCCAUGGGAGCCGGGGGUACCUGAAGUGCGUAACCGCGAGGAUCGCCCUAGGGUAAAAC
rnacentral:rRNA from 1 species